AGUUCUCUUAAUAUUCUUAGUUAUUGGUUAACCAAUUUGUAGGUUAGCCUUGUUUUAAAUUAUCUUUUUCAAAUUAUCUUAUUCAAACACGUAUUUCAAUUAUUGUCAAAAAAUAUAGUGUAAAGUUGAGUUGCUUGAGCUUUGAAUUAGGUCUACCUAUUGUUUUUUUCAAUUUUGUUUACAGUAUUGCUCAAUUUCUACGAGAGGAAUUACAAUCACAGCUUUUGUAGUAUGCUAAUAUUUAUAGCUUUAUUAGAUUUAAGGAAUUUUUAGAUAAAACAUAAUUUUUUGAAAAGGUAAAUAGGUAGGCUAUCACUCAUUUUAUUAUAUAAGUCACUAUUGGAAUAAGAAUUCUUCUCAAAUCAUAACAAGAAUGGCUUGAAAUAGAAAACUUUUGCAGUGUUGGUUAUCUUUAGUAUUAAAACAGAACAUACAUUACGGUAUUUCUAACAAUAUUAUUAUAAACAAAAAUAUGUGAUCAAUGAUUAUGCUGCUAGCUUACUCAGUAAAGGAUUUUAAUAUUCAGCCUGAUCCAGUAACUUACAUAUCAUUUUUAUCUAAUAUGUUUCUACUCUCAACAGAGUUUGACACAAUUUGAAAUUUGACGAUUCCCCGAUCCAAGACUGUGAGGAAUAAGUUACAUCUUACUCAUCGGAAGUAAGUACCGGUUUUGAAAAUGCUGAUAAACACUGGAAACGCCAAUAUCUAGCACACCUUCUAGGCCCUGCAAUAGCCUACAUAACUAAUACACCUCAAGUUACCUGAAAUUUUGUACCGAACAUGCGUAAUAAUUUUAUUUUUCGGAAAAGAUGUGAAAUGAUAUGAAUCUAUGGAUAUAGUUUAUACUUGUCCUCUGAAUUAUAAUUUAUUUCUCUGAACGUUGGACAAUACAUCCAUAGGAGUUUAUUCAUGAAAUAAAUUUCCACACUUCUAUAGAAAAUCAAGUGACACGAGUUUUGUGAGAAAAUAGAAAAAUAGUUUGGAUUGAUGGAUUUUGGAACUGUGAUUUGGACAUAACGAGUUUAGGAACGGUUUACUAUUGGGAAAUCAGAUCAGGUACCAAGAUCAUGAGCUGGAAAAUAUAAAUUCAGCAUAACUUAAUACAUUUUUAUUUUAUUUUCAGGAAUAAGUCAAUGAUAUAUAAAAUUAAAAUCAGAAUAAUAAAUAUUUAUUUUUCCUCCAAAAAUAAGUAAAAAUGUAGUAUGAAAAAACAAUCAGAUAGAUUUUGUAUAUUCUCUUGAGUAAUAUUCAAAUACCAAGGCAUAAAAUUACAAUCAUCAACAUUUGUAAGAAACAAAUUUAUAAAGAGUCUCAUAAUAGAAACGACAGAAAAAAAAUUAUAUGCAAUAAUAUAAAAAUUCAAAGAAGGAAAUACAGUAGUUUGUUUUCAGAUGUUCAUAUUUUUUUAUUAAAUCAAUAAGUCAAUGCAGUAUGUAAAAUUACAAUCAUCAAAAUUUGUAAGAAACAUGUAGUGAGAUUCUCAUAAUAUAAACGACAAAACGAAAAUUGUAUACAAUAAUGAUAUAAAAAAUUAAAAAAAAGAAAUAGUUUGCUUUCAGAAGUUCAGCAUGUCAUCAUUUUAUUUCUAAUGAAUUCUUGCAAAUUAGUGUGAAACUACAAUCAUCAAAAUUUGAAAGAAACAUUCAGAAGAAGUUUCAUUAUAAAAAUGAAUAAAAACAACAAAACAGAAAUACAGUAAUAAUAAUAUUUAGAAAAUUCAAAAAAUGAAUAGUUUAUUUUCAGGUGUGUGGUGUGUAUCAUGUCACAGUCCCAAAAUAUUUCCCUAAUAUCUUUUCAAAAUAUUUCCCAAAUGUUUAUCAACUUGGAUAAACAACAUUAUUAUAAUCCAAUUGCAAUGUCAGAUAAAGAAUUCAUUUUUUCAUUAUUUAACCUGCAAACUUAGGUCAAGUGAUCAUAAUGCACAAUGGAACUGAAGUCACAAGUGAAAUAGAAAAUGUAGUUGAACAUAUACAGUACGAGCUUUGAUUCAGUAAAUGUACAUGGAUAUUUUCUUCAUGGUAUUUUUGAAUAGAGAAUUUUUCUCAAAAGAAUAUUAAUUUUUGAAAAACUUAUUCGUUUAAAAAACCUCAAUUUCAGUAUUGUUAUUUAUAUUUAAUAUUAUUGAUUACCUACUUAUUCCAUUAUCUCACAAAAGUAAUAAUCAGAAAAAAGUUUUAGGCCUACCGUACUGUUUUUGCACAAUCUUAAAAAAAUGAUACCCCACUUCAUCAUAAUAUAUGACGGGGUAAUAAAUAAUAUUUAAUGAUAUAUAAAUAGUAUUUAAAUCAAUAAAAAUUAUUAUUGAUAUAUAGACUAGUAGUAUCAAUAAAAAACUUUUAUGGAGAAACAACCAAAAUAAAUUCCUGUUGCCAUAAUUAUAUAAUAGCUUACUAUAAUAGAAAACAAUCAAAGCAAAAGAUUCACGUUUUCAAUUAUUCUACUGACCUGGGCAAUAGUAAUUUUACAAUUUUAGUGAAACCCUUCAUACUCCAAUAUCGCUAUAUACAUCAUCUACUUCUGAUCAAAGAAAUAAUGAGACUAUAAAAUAUUAUUCAUUGACCGAGCAAAGCGAGGUCCAAGAUUCAAGUUGACUGUUUUGCUCUUCUCUUGAUGUGUGUUCCGCAUUCACAGCGAAACACUGCAUUUACAGCCUGGUUGCACAAAAUCCGGUUAAAUUUUAACCGUGAUUAAUUUCACGAGAACCAAU
rnacentral:lncRNA from 1 species